rnacentral:rRNA from 1 species
GACGAACGCUGGCGGCGUGCUUAACACAUGCAAGUCGAACGGAAAGGCCCUGCUUUUGUGGGGUGCUCGAGUGGCGAACGGGUGAGUAACACGCGAGUAACCUGCCCUUGACUUUGGGAUAACUUCAGGAAACUGGGGCUAAUACCGGAUAGGAGCUCCUGCUGCAUGGUGGGGGUUGGAAAGUUUCGGCGGUUGGGGAUGGACUCGCGGCUUAUCAGCUUGUUGGUGGGGUAGUGGCUUACCCAGGCUUUGACGGGUAGCCGGCCUGAGAGGGUGACCGGCCACAUUGGGACUGAGGUACGGCCCAGACUCCUACGGGAGGCAGCAGUGGGGAAUAUUGCACAAUGGGCGGAAGCCUGAUGCAGCAACUCCGCGUGCGGGAUGACGGCCUUCGGGUUGUAAACCGCUUUCGCCUGUGACGAAGCGUGAGUGACGGUAAUGGGUAAAGAAGCACCGGCUAACUACGUG